rnacentral:rRNA from 1 species
UACGUAGGGAGCAAGCGUUGUUCGGAUUUACUGGGCGUAAAGGGCGCGUAGGCGGCAAUUCAAGUCAGCUGUGAAAUCUCCGGGCUUAACUCGGAACGGUCAGCUGAUACUGCUUUGCUAGAGUGCAGAAGGGGCAACUGGAAUUCUCGGUGUAGCGGUGAAAUGCGUAGAUAUCGAGAGGAACACCUGCGGCGAAGGCGGGUUGCUGGGCUGACACUGACGCUGAGGCGCGAAAGCCAGGGGAGCGAACGGG